GGGCCCGACGUCGCAUGCUCCCGGCGCCAUGGCGGCCGCGGGAAUUCGAUUAGAGUUUGAUCAUGGCUCAGAACGAACGCUGGCGGCAUGCCUAACACAUGCAAGUCGAACGAAGGCUUCGGCCUUAGUGGCGCACGGGUGCGUAACGCGUGGGAAUCUGCCCCUUGGUUCGGAAUAACAGUUAGAAAUGACUGCUAAUACCGGAUGACGACGUAAGUCCAAAGAUUUAUCGCCGAGGGAUGAGCCCGCGUAGGAUUAGCUAGUUGGUGUGGUAAAGGCGCACCAAGGCGACGAUCCUUAGCUGGUCUGAGAGGAUGAUCAGCCACACUGGGACUGAGACACGGCCCAGACUCCUACGGGAGGCAGCAGUGGGGAAUAUUGGACAAUGGGCGAAAGCCUGAUCCAGCAAUGCCGCGUGAGUGAUGAAGGCCUUAGGGUUGUAAAGCUCUUUUACCCGGGAUGAUAAUGACAGUACCGGGAGAAUAAGCUCCGGCUAACUCCGUGCCAGCAGCCGCGGUAAUACGAAUCACUAGUGAAUUCGCGGCCGCCUGCAGGUCGACCAUAUGGGAGAGCUCCCAAC
rnacentral:rRNA from 1 species